rnacentral:rRNA from 1 species
GACGAACGCUGGCGGCGUGCUUAACACAUGCAAGUCGAACGGAAAGGCCCUGCUUUUGUGGGGUGCUCGAGUGGCGAACGGGUGAGUAACACGUGAGUAACCUGCCCUUGACUUUGGGAUAACUUCAGGAAACUGGGGCUAAUACCGGAUAGGAGCUCCUGCUGCAUGGUGGGGGUUGGAAAGUUUCGGCGGUUGGGGAUGGACUCGCGGCUUAUCAGCUUGUUGGUGGGGUAGUGGCUUACCAAGGCUUUGACGGGUAGCCGGCCUGAGAGGGUGACCGGCCACAUUAGGACUGAGAUACGGCCCAGACUCCUACGGGAGGCAGCAGUGGGGAAUAUUGCAAAAUGGGCGGAAGCCUGAUGCAGCAACGCCGCGUGCGGGAUGACGGCCUUCGGGUUGUAAACCGCUUUCGCCUGUGACGAAGCGUGAGUGACGGUAAUGGGUAAAGAAGCACCGGCUAACUACGUG